rnacentral:rRNA from 1 species
AAUCAACGCUGGCGGCGUGCCUCAGACAUGCAAGUCGAACGCGAAAGUCCCCUUCGGGGGACAAGUAGAGUGGCGCACGGGUGAGUAACACGUAGGUAAUCUACCUUUGGAUGGGGAAUAACAACCGGAAACGGUUGCUAAUACCGCAUAAUGCAGCGGCACCUAAGUGGUGAACAGUUGUUAAAGCGGGGGAUCGAAAGACCUCGCGUCUGAAGAGGAGCCUGGCGGCGGAUUAGCUAGNGGUAAGGUAAUGGCUUACCAAGGCUACGAUCCGUAACCGGCCUGAGAGGGCGGU